ACCAAAAUGAUGGAAAUUGGUAGACAUGCUAGGUUUAGGUUCUAGUUCCUUUUUAGGAGUGGAGGUUCAAGUCCUCUUUUUGGUA
rnacentral:tRNA from 1 species